rnacentral:rRNA from 1 species
UACGUAGGUGGCAAGCGUUAUCCGGAAUUAUUGGGCGUAAAGCGCGCGCAGGUGGUUUCUUAAGUCUGAUGUGAAAGCCCACGGCUCAACCGUGGAGGGUCAUUGGAAACUGGGAGACUUGAGUGCAGAAGAGGAAAGUGGAAUUCCAUGUGUAGCGGUGAAAUGCGUAGAGAUAUGGAGGAACACCAGUGGCGAAGGCGACUUUCUGGUCUGAGUAACUGACACUGGAGGCGCGAAAGCGUGGGGAGCAAACAGG